AUACUUACCAACACUGGAACUUUCUCGACCAAGAAGAAGAAAGUCCCUGGUUGAGAUGCUACAGCAUUGACGCCAGUGACAAAAGUCAAGUGAAUGAUUUUUCUACAGGGAUCGAGCGUUCGCGCUUGAUCCUA
rnacentral:snRNA from 1 species